UUUUUGUACCGUGAUCUGUCAUAGUUAGCUUGAUGCUUCAGCUACCUGGUUGGGGCCAGGUCUGACCUCUUCACAACUCUUUGAAAUUAUUUAGGACCCUAAUAAUUUCUACUAUUUUAACUACUGAUAGACAUUUACUUAUGUGGAUUAUAUUUAUUGAUAGUUACUAUAUGCCACGGACUGAAUGAGAUCCCCAAAAUCCAUAUGCUCAAGUCCUAAUCCCCAGUGUGAUAUUUGGAAGUGGGGCCUUUGGAAGGUAGUUAGAUUAGGUCAUGAGGGGAGGGUUCUCAUGAAGGGUUUAAUGCUCUUGUAAAAAUGGGAAAAGACAUGAGAACUUCUUCUCUGCCAUGUAAGGAUACAGCAAGAAGAUGGCCACCUACGCACCAGGACGAGAGCCCUCCCCAGACCUACUAGAAUCUACUGCCACUUUGAUCUUGGAUCUUCUCCAGAACUAUGAGAAAUAAAUAAAUAAGUUGUUUAAGCUUUUCACCCUAUGAUAAUUCUGUUACAGUGACCCAAAGUAAGAUACCAUAUUAGAAAUUAAAACUGAGAAAUUAUUAUUUAUUAAUGCACCUAAGAUAGUAAUAAACCUACCACACAGAACACAUAUUUUUAUGAAAAAUCUAUCUUCUAACCCUAAAAGAAUAAGCAAGAGUGGCAUUAUUUGUAUUUUUCCAAAUCUAUUUACUGUUUGGCCUAAUGGAAGGCAACUGGAUUCUUAUAUACACUUCUCCAUACAAUCUCUUGUGACAUAUUAUUUUGGUUAAAGUACAGGGAAAAAAAAAUCCAGCCUCAUACAGAUAUGGAGUUGGAAAAAGAAGAAGUAUUUUAAUAGUCUUUUUAGGUAGUUAUAGGUAUUCUUCUCUGAUACUAUGCCAAAACUUGACAAUUAAUAUUUUCUUAAAUGUUACCUGCAAUAUGGAAUCUGAAACCAUAUAAAUGAACAUUCAUUCGUACUGUUACAUUAGAGUCCAUUUAUUUAUUUUGAAUUCUGAAUGUAUCUUUUACCCAUGUAUUAUUUUAAACAUCAUGUAUUGAUCAUUUGGUGAUUACUAUAGUGACAUCGAUUUUCCAAAUGUUGAUAUAUUUUAUUAUAUAAUGUCAAAAAUUACAUCAGUUACCAUCAUCGCAAAUCUUAUUCAGAAAAACCUGUAAAUAUUGGGAAACUGUCAAGCUCACGGUGGUUGAUACAAAUUUUCCAAACUUCUACUUUUUGGUUAAAAACUCAAAUAUUAUUACUGGCAACAAAUACUUUCAAUAUAAUGAAAUGAUAGUCUUACCUCAUUUGUUUUUGAGAAAAUGUCCACCAAAAAUUCAAAGUCUGACUAAUCACAGUUGUCUGUUUGUUACACCUUAUCACAGUAUCAUAGUUUAUCAGUUGUUCUUUCAAGUAAAAAAAAUGGUGUUCCAUGGGAAAAACUGCUAAUUCAGUUCACAAUCAAAUAAUUGCAUAUGUGCUUUUCUUCAAAACAACUGUCAUAUUUCAGUAUAAAUCAGAAGUACUUUAUUUGUACCUCCUAGUUAGCCACACAAAGUAUCGAGUUGAGAUUCAUUUUUUUUGCUUUAUCAAAGACUUUCUUAUAUGAAAUUAGCAAGUUAUUUUUGUUUGAAGUUUUUCUCUUUCUCUUCAAGUGUGUGUGAGAGAGUGUGUGUGUUUACUGUAUAGUGUCACCAAUACAAUGACUAUUAAUAGAAUUCAGAGCUCCUGCCUUGAUCAGUGCUAAGGAGCCAACAGUUUUACCUAUAUUGCUUUUGCAUCUUCAGUGCAAGUGUCAGAAUGAAAAGGGGAAAUAAUUUCUCAAUAUUCUUAUGAAAAUUGUUUUGAUCUAAUGGACCCCUUGAAAAUGUCUCAGGGACUCCAGAGAUCUGUGAGUUACAUUCUGAGAAUUCGUGACAUAGAGAAAUUAUGCCUACCCUUUCUUGCCCAAGGGUAAGACAAGAGGAGAUAGAGGUAAAAGAAGCUAGAAGUAAGUCACCUGGACCCGGAAAUGUCUGGAGAAGACUGUGACAUGGUGACCUGAGCAAACCAAGAGGAGGCCAUAGGGCUCCUGGCAAUGCCCUCCCUCCUUGUAGCAAUUUUCCAAGAAGACAUGAGUGACUCUGGGGUUAGGCAACACUGGAAGGUAGGUACUUAGGUGAGUCUGGGGGAGCACAUCUGGUUCCCUGCAGCAGUGCCUGGAGGAAAUCCAGAGGUUUCCAUGAGCCCAUUGAAAGGCCACAAAGGUGCUGGCCACCAAACAAAGGCCUGCAAUGUCUAAGACGAAGAGACCAUUAAGAGAUACAGACUUAUGUGGCAAGGACCAGGGGCUUCAGCAGUGUGUACAUCUCAUCAAGCGACCAGAGGGAGAGGACACCUUGCACACACCAAUUAGGAGUAGAUCAGAGUAAUCCUGUUGCAGAGUUCAGGUGCCCUGCUGGAAGGGCAUGUAACUUGCUUUAUAUACACUCACUUGUCACCUUGGAGAGAAGGAGGGGAAGGAGCAGAAAUCUGGAAUACGGAGCACUGAAAUCCAGAGUCUAGUUCAACGGAAAGGAGCUAUUUAAACUAGCCUUGAUAGGAACUUCAACUCUGCAAAGAUUGAAUUUUGAAACUGUAAAAGGAGACUUUUUGAAAACCAGUCAGUCCUUUUAAGAUUGAGAUAUUGUUCAUUAUUGAGCAAACUUUCCCUGUCAGCCUUCAUGAUUGGACCUCCUAAGGAGCCAUAGAAUCCCCUAGAAAGCAGUCAUUGUUUGAGUAAAUUUGUAUGACAAAAGAGAACCAUAUUCAGUGUUACCAGUAGUUAUUUCUGGGUAGAAUUAUGGAUGGUUUCUAUUAUCUUUUCAGGCUAAUCUGAAUACCAUUAAUUUUUUAUAAUAAAGAAUCAUUAGUUUAAUAAUCAGAAAAUAUGUGGUCAUAUGACUUGAAAGAUAAUGUUCACAUUUCUGAACGUGGAAGAAAAUGCCCCUCCUCCUGACCUUGCUUUAUGUCCUCAUCCUCUCACCCGCCCAUCUGCCCCACCACCACCAAGUGGCUCCUUGUACCCCACAGGUCAAGCUUGCUCAGGGUUUUGAAAAAUUCGACCAAGAUAUGUGCACAGUCUUAAAUGGAGAAAGCUCAUACAUUAGUAUUGCCCCAAAUAUCUCUACAUAAAAAAAGCUAUAAUCUCUACAUAAAAAAGGUAAAAUUGGCCACUUCCAAAAACUCACUAAUAUUGAAACAAACAAAACCACUGCAGCAUAAUAAAAAACAAAAAGAAACGUUUAACAACAUUUUAGAGCUGUCCUGGUUAAUACAGUAGGCACUUAGCCACAUGUUGCCAAUUGAGUACCUGAAAUGGAGCAAGUAAAACUAAGAAAUUGAAUUUUCAAUUUUAUUUAAUUUUAAUUAGUUUAAAAUUAAAAACUGUCGCUCCAUUCAGUUCUCAGAUGUUAUUACAGUAUAUUUGUGAAUCCACUCUUUCAACCAUAAGUUUUAUGACCUCUGAACACCAAUCAAGUAUUUUUUAAUGAAAAUUUACCAUCCAAAUGGAGAGAGCCUGUUAAGUAUGGGAUACUUACAAAAUUCAAAUACUUGGUAAGAAAAAAUUGUGAAGUGCUUUAUUACUAAUUUUUAUAUCAAUUUCAAAGUGAAGUGAUCAUAUUUUACAUGUAUCAGAUUAAAUAAAAUAUAGUAUUAAAAUUAAGUUCACCUGUUUGCUUUUACUUUUUUAAUGUAGCUACUACAAAAUUUUAAUCAUCCAUGUGGCUUGCAUUAUAUUUCUAUUGAAGUGCUGCCUUCAAUCUUGCUGUAGUAGCAUUAGACCAAAAAUCAUUUGGAUUGCUACUACACUGUUUUUCUACUUUUGACUGUUACUAUAAAUCUACUUAAAAUCCUUCCAAACUGCAACUGGAAAUAGUAUUAUUCUUUUUCUAGAAGAUUGUCUUUCAUGAGUACUAUAAUCUCCCAGCUACCUAACCGGGUAUCUGCAGUGUCUGAGAGAUUAAAUGCUUAUGAUGACUAUGCACUUAUGAGGGGCAUCAUUAUGUUACUGCAAUGCUGUUGCUACUACAUCUCUUUAAACCUAGAAAGUUCUGUCUUUAUUUCAGAGCCAGGCUAGUGAAAAGUGGUUCCAGACUUUGGGCUCCAGACAUUGGGUACUUUUGUAUGAAAGCGAACAGUACUUUUCUUUUCUAUUUGCCAUUAUGACUCCAUCUCCUUUGUCUCAGCAUUGUGGCAAAGAAUUGAACAAUUAAAAUUUCCCAGAGGUCCCUUUUCUUAACUCUUAACAAAGUCCUAGCAAGUCUUCUGUCCCUUAUUCACAGCAAUGGUUUUUGCCUUUAAUGAAAAAGUAAAACUGGGAAUAGUUUCCAGAGCUUUCAGAACUUUUUCCAUUGAAAUGCAAACACUUCUCCUCUGGCACCUCUGAGAAUUCUGAGAAAUUGUUGGGCUUUGGCGAUGUUUCCAGAAAACCUGGCAUUCUUCUCCUCUUCAUGGCUGGUUUAAGUUCUUCUCUUUCCAAGGACAUUCAAGUAAAGUCAGCAGUUGACGCUUUCUUACAGGGCAAACCCCCAACUUGAACCCUGAACAGAAGAGUAACUUUUUCAUCCCAAAUUUGGGAUUAUAACCAAUAAACCUCAGAACCCUACCUUGACACACCUCUUCUUCAAAUGUGACUUAGCUUCCUAACAUACACUCUUCUCCUUAACCCUGUCCAUGAACCACCACAGCUUAGUAGGCAGCUCUUGCCAUAACUAGGCACACAUCCCCACAAAGAUCACUUGUAUGUUGUAAAGAUAAUGACAUUUUCUUGGAUUCUCUAAUGCAGCCAUUCUAAUUGGUCUUAAAAAUGUCUAUCCACAAUUUUUAUUAUGCCACAUAACCUAUGGUCUCUCUAACAAAGUAUCAGCAUAAAAUGAAGUCACUAAUCUUUUCAAUCUUCAUUUCUCAACAGGAUUAGUCCAAAUGGGUAAACCAAGAAAGCAAUCGCCAUGUGUUCAAUCAACACAAACCAAAUUCUGAUCUCAGAUAGAAGCAACUCAAAUAUGUCCUUCUUAUUUAUUAUCCAUAAUAUUUAACCUGGCUUUCAUUAUGCCAUCGUAUAAUAAUAAUUUGAAAGAUGUAUUAUUCACUGUCUCACCUGGAUUCAUAAAUCUCAUCUCAUGAGUAGGAAUCAUGUCUGGUUUUUCUUUUGUGGUUCACAGACUAAGCUCAGUAGAUACUUAUUUAACGACCUUGCUUAAGACAAAAACUUAUCUAACAGCUCCAAGGAUGUUGGAGGAACAAAUAGAGCAAAUUCAAGCUCAGGUAGGUGACUAAAGAUCCCAUCUGGAGUGGAGCUAAAAGUAGCACAUGGAAGCAAAGCAGGAAAAAAACAGGAAGAAAUAAGCUUUUUGCAAUAUAUUAGAUGCUAUGCAAUCUUUUGAUCUAAUAAACCAUCCUCAAACUCCAUACUGUAAGUAUAAGAUAC
rnacentral:lncRNA from 1 species